UGGUUGUUCCGAGUGGGAUACUACCUCAGGCACAAUGCCGUACAUCAAAUACGCUACAGGCACGGAGUAUGUCACAUGGGCAUCAGAUUCUCUGGUUGGAGAUGCAGACGUCUUGGCGAUAUUUGUAAUGGACUGGUUCAUGGCAUUUAAAGGGGUCCAGGGCGUGACAGCCUCUACUGAAAGUCUCGAGUCGCUCUGGCUCUCAG